AACAUCAACCGCGUAUUCCAUCCUCUACAAAAAGGUAUUGUCUUUUUUAUUCCUAUAUGGAUGAUACUGGGGGGCCUCAUGUGGAAUAUAUGCGUAGAUAGAAUUAAAGAACGUUGCUGGGCGCCCGAUGUUGAAUCCUAAAAACUUGAGAUGUUGGGAAUCAGUUGUUUCUACAUGU
rnacentral:snoRNA from 1 species